rnacentral:rRNA from 1 species
GAUGAACGCUGGCGGCGUGCCUAAUACAUGCAAGUCGAGCGAACGGACGAGAAGCUUGCUUCUCUGAUGUUAGCGGCGGACGGGUGAGUAACACGUGGAUAACCUACCUAUAAGACUGGGAUAACUUCGGGAAACCGGAGCUAAUACCGGAUGAUAUUUUGAACCGCAUGGUUCAAAAGUGAAAGACGGUCUUGCUGUCACUUAUAGAUGGAUCCGCGCUGCAUUAGCUAGUUGGUAAGGUAACGGCUUACCAGGGCAACGAUGCAUAGCCGACCUGAGAGGGUGAUCGGCCACACUGGAACUGAGACACGGUCCAGACUCCUUCGGGAGGCAGCAGUAGGGAAUCUUCCGCAAUGGGCGAAAGCCUGACGGAGCAACGCCGCGUGAGUGAUGAAGGUCUUCGGAUCGUAAAACUCUGUUAUUAGGGAAGAACAUAUGUGUAAGUAACUGUGCACAUCUUGACGGUACCUAAUCAGAAAGCCACGGCUAACUACGUG